rnacentral:rRNA from 1 species
GCACAAGCGGUGGAUGAUGUGGAUUAAUUCGAUGCAACGCGAAAACCUUACCUACCCUUGACAUGUCUGGAACCUUGCUGAGAGGCGAGGGUGCCUUCGGGAGCCAGAACACAGGUGCUGCAUGGCUGUCGUCAGCUCGUGUCGUGAGAUGUUGGGUUAAGUCCCGCAACGAGCGCAACCCUUGUCAUUAGUUGCCAUCAUUUAGUUGGGCACUCUAAUGAGACUGCCGGUGACAAACCGGAGGAAGGUGGGGAUGACGUCAAGUCCUCAUGGCCCUUAUGGGUAGGGCUUCACACGUCAUACAAUGGUCGGUACAGAGGGUUGCCAAGCCGCGAGGUGGAGCCAAUCCCUUAAAGCCGAUCGUAGUCCGGAUCGUAGUCUGCAACUCGACUACGUGAAGUCGGAAUCGCUAGUAAUCGCAGGUCAGCAUACUGCGGUGAAUACGUUCCCGGGUCUU